rnacentral:lncRNA from 1 species
GGAAGCUUCUGCCCCUUCUACUUCUAGGAAGCCUCUGUCCUUUGUGACCCAAGGCCAAGGUCACAUUCCUUGAUUACAUCACAAUUAAGAAUUUCCAUUUUUGUGAUGAAAUCAUGAACUCGUAAUUAAAAGGCAAAUAACCGCUUAAAAAUAUAUCUAAAAAGUCAAAACCUGAUGUAGUUAAAAUAUUUAAAUGAUACAAGGAACUUUUGCAAAUUAAUUUUUAAAAGCAACACAAGAACCCCAAUAGAUAAAUGGGCAAAGACUCUGAAUAGUUCACGAGAUGAGAAACUCAAAAUAAUAAACAAAGGAAGAAAGGCUCGGACUCAUUUAAUUGGAGAUAUAAAAUAAGAACUAUGAUGAAUUAUGGGAUAGUUUAGAUCUCAAACCUCCCAAUCACCCAUAUGUUAGAGGCUUGAUCCCCAGCCUGUGACACUACCAGGAGGUGGUGGGAUCUUCAGGAAGAAGGGUCUCAUCGAAGGAAGUGAGGUCAUUGAAGACAUGCCCUUGAACGGGGCUGUGGUCCCUUCCUCUCUCCCCUUUGCUUCUUGGUUUCCCUGGGGCGAGCAGUCAUCCUCUACCAUGUGCUCCUGCCGUGGUGUACUGUGCCACCACAGGCCCAAAGCAAUGGAACCAAGUGACCAGAAUGAAUCUUGGAAACCACAAACCAAAA